GUUUCAGGCAAAGAUCUUAUUCAUCUGGAUAAAGGCAUAUCUCAGUCUCAUCUGAUUUGAGUGUGCUGAAUCGACACAGUCUUGUCAGACAUAGUGAGCCAUCGAUCCAGUAGUGACACCCCUGAUCCUUGGUACACACUCAUAUCCUCAGAGGUUGAGGGAGAGAAGAGUGUCUCUGUAGACCUGAAACAGCCUGCCAACGCCCCACACAAAACCCUGCAGAGCUACUAGAGCGUCCACAGUGACAAUAAAGCUCACUUCAGACUGAGGUCAUCAAAAAAAUUG